ensembl:lincRNA Gm28760 predicted gene 28760
AGACCCACACUGCGCGCAGAGCAGAGCCAGUGGCCACCUGAGCGGGAGUCUGCGGCGGGCGAGCCCGGAGCCGACUAGCCUCAGACACAGAGCUGCCUCCAUACGGGCCUGCGGGAGACAGUGGCCCGUGAGCGGACUGGCAGCUGCCGCAUCCAGGAAUGGGGCCCCACCGCAAAUGGAAACGCUGGCCCCUGGGAAUGGCUAAGGACUUGGGACAUAGCUUCGCGUCACAAGGGUAUUUUUCCCAAACGAAACUGCUUCAUUCGUUAGUUAGUUCGUUAGGGUAGCAAUGCCGCCAAAAAGUAGUAGGGACCGGUCAAAGUCCCGACUUCUUCGCUCUGGACCACGAUGUCCAGCUGUCACCUUCAGAAAUGUCCCAGCCUAUGGUGGCCUGCUCCCUGCUGCAUGGUUCGGGCUUUUACUUCCCCUAAGAGAAAACCCAAAUACACCUCGUAAAGUCCAAUAAAAUUGCUCCCGAAGC